rnacentral:rRNA from 1 species
AUACGUAGGGUGCGAGCGUUGUCCGGAAUUACUGGGCGUAAAGAGCUCGUAGGUGGUUUGUCGCGUCGUCUGUGAAAUUCCGGGGCUUAACUCCGGGCGUGCAGGCGAUACGGGCGUAACUUGAGUACUGUAGGGGAGACUGGAAUUCUUGGUGUAGCGGUGAAAUGCGCAGAUAUCAGGAGGAACACCGGUGGCGAAGGCGGGUCUCUGGGCAGUAACUGACGCUGAGGAGCGAAAGCAUGGGUAGCGAACAGGAUGAGAUACCCUGGUUGUCCAGGCCGUAAACGGUGGGCGCCAGGUGUAGGGGUCUUCCACGACUUCUGUGCCGUAGCUAACGCAUUAAGCGCCCCGCCUGGGGAGUACGGCCGCAAGGCUAAAACUCAAAUGAAUUGACGGG